GGCGCUAUAGCCAAGUGGUUACGGCGACAGAUUAGAAUCACGAAUGUGUGCUCCCUUAUCUGUUCCUCUUUGAGGGCGCAGGUUCGAAUCCUGCUGGCGUCG